CCCGCUCGGCCCAGACUCUCCCGCCGCGCGUGGCUGCGAGCUCCAAUCCCGUCGCUCCCUCUCCCCUUCCUCCUCCGCUCCCAGCCGCCGCCUCCGCUCCGCGCCCGCCCUCCGUGCCCCCGCUCCGCGCCCGACGCCGCCAGGCCACCGCUCGCCGUCCGACGCCGCCGCUUUGUCUGAUCCCUAGGCCAGCAGAGAGACGGUGACGACCACACGGAACGGAGCCAACAGGAGGAGAAGAGGGUAUUUCUCCAUCAUCGAGCCAUCCUAUGGGGAGGAUGGGUUCAGAACGCCGAGAUUUCUCCAUCCUGGAAGACCUAGAGGGGAUGAAGGGACGAGAAGGCUGCUUGGAGGAGGGAAGUCGACGUCCAGCGGCCUGGAGGAAGAGAUGCCGGGCGGCGGAGGAGGGGAUUCACCGGCGGCGCGGGAGGAUCUUAACCGGUCGCAGGAGGAGGAGGAUGGAUGGCGGCCACCUGUGCUUCCUCCUGGUGACAGCUGCGCGGCCUCGUCCAGUACAUGGUGCAACAGCUUGACAAGGAUAUGGGGCGGUAGUGGUUUGACCAGGGAUGAGGCGACCACUCCCGACCGCAUAGCACGCAGAGACGGAGCACUGCUCCUGCCGGCCGCUGCCGGCCGCCACACAUCAGCAAUUUUUCUGGUGGAUCAUUGGUGGAGGAGCAAGGUAGAGUUGCUGCUCCUGAAGUUUUUGACGUAUCUGUGAGGGAUGAGUGCAGCGUGAGGAACCACUAUGAACCCAUGAUGUUAUACAAAUGAAGCUAAAUGAGAUAUGACAUAUUUUCCAAGGGAGAUAUUGGAAGGGUUUCGUCUUGCUGCAGGUCAAGACGUGAAGGUCCCUUUGUGUCUUAGUUUGUGCAAACACUUGCUCAAAAUAAAAGUAACAAUGAAAAUCCCAUCUGUGUAUGUAACUUUUGAUUUCUGCAACCUACAUCCAACUCCUAUGUUCGUGUAGUGGUUUAAUUGGCAUGAGCAUUAGAUGCAGAUGCAUCUUUUAGUUGAUAAUAUAGUAAUGAACUUUAUGAGUAAUAUUCACAUUGUAAUAUCUUAUCUGUGAUCAAAUUUAUAUGAUCCUUAUACACAGUAAAAUUUCCAAAAGUUUUUUUCACGUUAAUAGCGUUGCUGAGGAUCAAAGCAAAUAUGCAGCUAGCAGUUUUUUCUGUACGAAACAUGAGAAAACCGGAGAUCAUUUAGGUGACUGUUCUUUGUAGGAAUGCAGCCUCCUUUCGGUACACAGACUUAGGAAAUCAAAGCGAUGGCAAAACACUGUACUGCGAGUGUUGACUUCAGGAUAUCUCAUGAAUGUCUUAUACUCCUUGAUACUCAGGCAGAGAUGGAGUUAUUUUGCUCUCUGCAACGGUGUGUUCCUAAUACAAGAAAAUUUGAGCUAAACAUCUUGCUGCUAAUAUUUUCGAAUAAAAACCACUGUCAUGCAGCCGGUAUACAGUCUAUCCAUCCUAAUUGAUAUGAUGAUGCCAGAUGGUUCAUCAACACUUACUGUUCUUAGUGGUGAUCCAUUACCAGCAGAUCUGGCUGGUGAGCUAAUGGGAAUUCAGGUAAACACUUCACUUAAAUAAAUUCUUACACUCGAUUGUAUUACUGCUAGCUUUACUUUGGUAAAUCCCUGUAUUUUCUGUUGUUCUGCAAGGAAUUUCUGUAGCUAGGUGUUUUCUUGGCAUCUCUCUGUAAUAUUUAGUUGGUCGAACGGAUCAAUGAUUUUUCCAUGUGGGAGCUCAUACUUACAGUAUGUUGUCUGGCUAUAUUUUUUUGUAUCAAUACUCCUUUUAUCGGAGCCUUAUGAUCUGCUUGGUUGAACUUUAAGGACAAAGAUUUAUGCACAUUGUGGUCGGAAGAAUGUCAGUAAUCUCUGGACAAAGAGAAUGGAGAGUUUAGACGGAUAGAAAAGAAACAAACUUUGUAGCGAGGAGAAGAAGCACAUCAGUGAAAACAAAGGCAACACGUCAACGCCAUAUGGUUCUUUCUUCCUGGCUCAACAAACAGGUUGGUGUUGUGGCCAUGGCGCCUGGAGAGGCUGCGGCGGCUCCACCGAAGUUGUGGUCGCCUUCGCCGAGCAGCGACAGGACGGAUGGCCGUGGGGAGCAUCAUAUUGUUCGUGCCUGCGUGAUUCAUGAUUCUGAUAGUAUGAAUUGAAUAACCGAGUCAGUGUUUGUAGCGUCACAGGAGGAGGAAAAGGGAAUCUGAUGGUGGGUUCUACAGUGCGGUGGAUGCAUGCGUGAGUGUGAGGAAUUAGAAAUGAGUGGACAGUGUUCUAUGUACUGUGUACAGUGUCUGUAGCGUCACGGGAGGAGGAGAAAAACGGAUCUGAUGGGGGUUCUAGGAGUGCGGAGUGCCGUGGAUGCAUGCGUGUGAGGAAUUAGGAAUGAGAGAGGACAUUGGCGUAUAUGCUUACUGUUUCUAUAGUUAAUUAAUCUAAAAAUGAAAACUAUAACUCAAAGAAAGAGGUAAUGCAUUACCUACAGAAAUACGAGUAAACUAUUAAUUAAUUGUCGUCUGAUUAAUUUA